rnacentral:tRNA from 1 species
AGGGAUAUGGUGAAAAGGUAAACACAUGUGAUUUAGGUUCAUUUUUUUGUAGGUUCGACUCCUAUUAUCCUUA